rnacentral:lncRNA from 1 species
GCCUGCCGCAGCCACCUUCUUCUCUGAUGCUGUGUCCUGGACUUGGUGACAAUGGCAAAUUGACAAGAAGGCGAGCCUGGGCCUUUCCUGCGGCGACAUCCAGCUUCCCCCGCCCCUCCCUGGGUGGGUGCCCACCACACGCCCAGCCUGCCGCGUGCUUAUCCAGGCCCUCCAGGCCAGGCCUCCGGGUCUUAUGGAAGAAGGCCCCGUGUCUGGGCAGUGCCGUGGCUGUGAGUGAGCAUCCGGGGCCAGUCAGAUGUGCCGUCUCCGGAGGUCACUUCCAUAGUGGCCAUCAACAGCUUGGCCAAACUCGGCCGCAGGAUCUUUUCCUAUCAAUUGCAGGAUGGACUCUUCCCGCAGCCAUGCGACCUGUGGCCCGCGGUCCUGCUCCCUGAGCUGGAGGAGGCUGAACAGAAUGAGCAGGGUCUCACUCUGUAGCCAAGACUGGAGUGCAGUGGCACAAUCUCGGCUCACCGCAACCUCCACUUCCCAGGCUCAAGUGAUUCUCCUGACUCAGCCUCCCGAGUAGCUGGGAUUACAGGUGUGCACCACCACGCCUGACUAAUUUUUGUAUUGUUAGUAGAGACGGGGUUUCACCAUGUUGGCCAGGUUGGUGUUGAACUCCUGACUUCAAAUGAUCCACCUGCCUUGGCCUCCCAAAGUGCUGGGAUUACAGGCCUGAGCCACUGCGCCCGGACUUUUUUUUUUUUUUGAGAUGGAGUUUCGCUCUGUCACCCAGGCUGGAGUGUGGUGGCAUGAUCUCGGCUCACUGCAACCUCCACCUCCCAGGGUCAAGUGAUUCUCCUGGGUCAGCCUCCGGAGUAGCUGGGAUUACAGAUUUCUUCCCGGUCAGCCCCAAACACUGAAUGUAAAUACGGUCCAACAUCAACCUGCAAACGAACACUGACAUGAAAGUGCAGUUGGAAAGGAUCUCGCAAAGGAACAGAAUCUGGUGAUCCUAAUCGUAAUGAACGUGAUCGCCGGGUAUUGAGAGCUUGCAGGUACCAGGGCUCCGGCACUACGUGUUUCACAGGGGCCACUCGGUAGACCUCUUGGUGACCUUGAGGUCAGGUACCACGUUCCCAUUUUACAGAGGAGGAAACUGAGAUAACCUACGACAGCGAAAAGGUAGCAGAGCUGGGACUGGUGCCCAGGCUCGCCGAGUGGAAAAGCCCUCGGCCACCGUGGAGAGCUCGCUUCCUGUGGUCUGAAGCGUCGCCCCUGCACCGGCUUCUGCUGCCAAGGAUGGCUUUUCCUCACUGGUGCCCACCUACGCUCACUUGUGUCAUGUGGUUAAGCCCUUUUGGCAACAUAAGACCUUUCCCAAGAAUGUGCCUCGGUGCAGAGGAAGACGGUGGGGGCAGGCCCCCUCCCCGGGAUGCUCCACCCUCCCUGACCUCACACGGGUGCAACCUGGGCCGUGGCCGAGACCUGCUGUGUGGCAGACAAUGGGAAGCCUGUGUGUCGUCCUGGGUGCCGGAUUUAGACAAUAUUUAGCUUUCCCUUGGUGGAAAAGCCUUUCCCCUCCUGCUUUGGGCAGGAACUGGUUCCUGUUGGGCGGGGCCUGGCUGCUGCCCCACCCCCACCCGGCCGGGCACCUUGACCGGCAGCUCUCCGGGCUGCUCCCUGCCUGUGUCCCUGAGCACUGACUCCAGAGGUUUAAUCAUUAACGGGCACGUUUGGCCUUCGGUCGUGGGCUGGAAUUUGGGACCUGUGCCCGGGAACAAUGAUCUCCGACACAUUAUUUUGUGUAAAAUCACUUUUAGCUGCCAUUAGCUAAUAAAGCUGGAAUAAAGUGAGGUCCAU